rnacentral:rRNA from 1 species
UACGGGGGGGGCAAGCGUUGUUCGGAAUUACUGGGCGUAAAGCGCACGUAGGCGGACUAUUAAGUCAGGGGUGAAAUCCUGGAGCUCAACUCCAGAACUGCCUUCGAUACUGAGAGUCUCGAGUCCGGGAGAGGUGAGUGGAACUGCGAGUGUAGAGGUGAAAUUCGUAGAUAUUCGCAAGAACACCAGUGGCGAAGGCGGCUCACUGGCCCGGUACUGACGCUGAGGUGCGAAAGCGUGGGGAGCAAACAGG